CUUCCGUAGGGUGAACCUGCGGAAGGAUCAUUACCGAGUGAGGGCCCUCUGGGUCCAGCCUCCCACCCGUGUCUAUCGUACCUUGUUGCUUCGGCGGGCCCGCCGUUUCGACGGCCGCCGGGGAGGCCUUGCGCCCCCGGGCCCGCGCCCGCCGAAGACCCCAACAUGAACGCUGUUCUGAAAGUAUGCAGUCUGAGUUGAUUAUCGUAAUCAGUUAAAACUUUCAACAACGGAUCUCUUGGUUCCGGCAUCGAUGAAGAACGCAGCGAAAUGCGAUAAGUAAUGUGAAUUGCAGAAUUCAGUGAAUCAUCGAGUCUUUGAACGCACAUUGCGCCCCCUGGUAUUCCGGGGGGCAUGCCUGUCCGAGCGUCAUUGCUGCCCUCAAGCACGGCUUGUGUGUUGGGCCCCCGUCCCCCUCUCCCGGGGGACGGGCCCGAAAGGCAGCGGCGGCACCGCGUCCGGUCCUCGAGCGUAUGGGGCUUUGUCACCUGCUCUGUAGGCCCGGCCGGCGCCAGCCGACACCCAACUUUAUUUUUCUAAGGUUGACCUCGGAUCAGGUAGGGAUACCCGCUGAACUUAAGCAUAUCAAACCGGGAAGGAGAAA
rnacentral:rRNA from 1 species